rnacentral:rRNA from 1 species
UACGGGGGGGGCAAGCGUUGUUCGGAAUUACUGGGCGUAAAGGGCGCGUAGGCGGUCAGACCAAGUCGAGUGUGAAAUUCCAGGGCUUAACUCUGGCGCGCUCGCUCGAUACUGGUCGGCUAGAGUGUGGAAGAGGAUGCUGGAAUUCCCGGUGUAGCGGUGAAAUGCGCAGAUAUCGGGAAGAACACCCGUGGCGAAGGCGGCUCUCUGGGACGGUACUGACGCUGAGACGCGAAAGCGUGGGGAGCGAACAGG